rnacentral:sRNA from 1 species
AGUUUUAAUUAAUGCAAAAUGCGAAUUUUCAAAAGACGUCGUUGAGCCAAGCGCUGGCUCAAAUUGCCGACAACAUGGAAAACAGAACACAGAGGCGAUGAGCUCCAAAGGACCCCAAAAAGGAUCCGCAUCCCCUCGAACGCAACGUUUUGUUGUCGCAUAAUUACAACUCAAUUGUAAUCCAAUUUUGGCCAGGCAUAUAAAUCCGAUUCAGGCACAAAGUCACGCCCCCGGCCUGGUGUCUGUGUCAACUUUUUCGGUGUCAAAUAAAUAAACUUUUGACAGUCGGCAGACAGGCCAGCGGGGUUUUUCCGAGCUCCAACUCCGCCCGAAAAAGCCCAUCCGCACACCUUUCGCUUUUCGCUGUGGCCACCACCGGAAAUGGAAAUUUGUUAACAAUGGCGAGGGGGUUGGGGUUGGUGGCAUGUACAUUAGUAACUGGGAUACCAAAAUCAAUGCCCCAACAGAUGGAUUAGAUACAGACAUCUGACCACGAGCUCAUCCGUUCAACCCCGUCGAAGGCAGAACUCUUGAUAACUGCAAAUUAGUUGCACAUGUUCCACAUGGGCCACAACUCAAAACAAGACGUGUUUGCACUAAUUUGGCCAAAAUCAACAGCUGUGCGUACAUGUGCUGCCAUCUUCUGCUCGCUGUAUACCCAACAGAAGCGGUCCCAAAAAAAUAAAAUAAAAUAAAAGAACGGGGGAACUAGCGAGAUUCUGGGGCGAAAAACGAGAAGGAAAACAGAAAAAUUGCCUAGAAAACUUGUUAUAAUUACACACUGGCACACACACUCUCACGCGUGCUGGAUCGCCGUAUGUGUAUUGACUGCAGGGCAAGGAAUUUGGAAAGGGCGGACGCGGAGAGGGGGGGAGAGUACGAGGGCAUGCAUGAAGAGGCAACAUAUGUUGGACUUUGGAGCAAACUUUUGCGAAUUUUCGGGGCGCCCUUCCACUUUGCCCCUUGUGGCAGCUCCAUAUAUUGGCACCUCCUCAUAUCCUCAUCGCAGGAUUUCGCCGAGUGGAACUUGUGUGUUUUGUGGUUGAGUAGACGCACAGUUUAGGCCCAGAAUGCAACAGCUGCGAGAAUCCCCAUUCCGGAGGACGAAAAUGUCCCGGCCAACUCAUGGUUCGAGUUUUGCCUGUUGCCGAGAGAACCCCAUGACAACUUCCUCACUAAUCUGCCCGAUGACUCACGAUAAGAUAGAUAAUUGCAUGGGUUUCAAUGGAAGUCUGGAAACAAUCAGAGCAACCGCCACAUGAUGCCAACUUUUCAGGGACUCUUCGCAGAAAUAAAAACUCGCAUCGAAAGCCGAGGGAAUUGUUAACGAAGGCUUAAAGAGAAUGGGGUAAAUCCUACGAAAAAAAAAAAUAAAGGCACAAACUUUUGGGCCAACUUUUUUUGGUCAAACAAAAAAAGAAAAGAACAGUAACGAAAAAAAAUCUAUGUGGACAGCGCCAAACUGUCGGAAAAUGCCUAAAAAUGGUCCGGGCCAAUGGGAAAAAAUAAAUAUGCCAAUGAAAUGGGCUGUUUUGCCAGCCCUGGAAAAUGUGCUCACUGGAUGGGGGUGUGCAAAACUGAUGGCCCGUCUGGGCCAAAAGCAAAACCAGAGCCAAAGAGAAAGCCAUGUGCUCGCAAAUGCGGGACACGUACUUGCGCUAUAAUUAUUUCGUACGUGAGCACGUGAGCCCGCCGAAAGACAAUGAGUCGCCGUAGCCGGAGAAAUGGAAAACGCAGCCUGGAGUUCGAAGACCUGAGUCCGGAGAGCGUCUGCUGCGUCUGCGGCCGGAAGAAGACGAGUCGGACGCGCUAAGGUUAGCAUAUAGCACAUCAGAGAGAUUAAAGUGUGGACUUCCUUCGCAUAAAAUAAUAAUGCUGUGCAUCAUAAGAACCCGACAAAGGCAACACGUGGCUACAGUUUUGGUCCCCCAAUCGCUAAUUUUCACACAGCCCCACAGCGUGACAUAAGGUAUCAAAAAAUGUUUUGGACUAACUCCCCCUCCAAAUAAUAUCCGCCUCAGGACAUCGGAGCAAAGAUCUUUAGCUUUCCAGCUGCCUUUAAGUAUUGCCUACGUGAUGGUUUUUCUUCCAGGAAAAAUUUAUUGUCAUUACCUUGAAAGUUGGCCGGAAAGUCUUGGCGUCAUAUUGGCAGAUUUAUCAUCGUUUAUAUUAAUGGCUCUUUAUUACAAGCUUUCAUAUCGAUACGGAAUCCAACUUAAGCAGUAGAAUAUACAACUUCCUGCUUUGGAUAGACCUCAUCCAGAGUCAGCACUUUGGAAGCAUAUAUCUAAUUAAAGGACUGUCCCCUUGGUUCCCAACUGGUCCACAUCUCAUCCACGUCGUCAUUAGCAUCGUCAUGAUCGGAAUAAAUGAAAGCACCCAACCACUACGACCGCA